CGGAGUAUAGCUCAGCUGGUUAGAGCGCACCGCUGAUAACGGUGAGGUCGGUGGUUCAAGUCCACUUAUUCCGACCA
rnacentral:tRNA from 1 species